CAUGCAGUGAUGCAAUUUCAUCUAUUCACUUAAACUGUUUCACAGCAGUCAUAUCUUUUUUAUUGGUUGGAGGACACAAGCUUUUUCACAGUUAUAAAAUGUUUUAUUUGGUUAUCUGAUUGUUCACAUUUUUUCCCCAGUUAAAUUACCUUUCUGAGGUGAUUUGACUUAUAUUGCUUUAGCUUUGUGAAAAUUAUUAUUUCAAAGUACCAAGAGCACAUGUGAAUUCUCAGCAUGCUAUUUGGUUUAUAUGUGAUAAAUGCAAUCAAUCAAAAUUAUAACAACUUGUAACUUGCACCUAAGUUACUGCUAAUUUUUGCUUCUGUGGCUGAUUUCCCUUUAGCAGCUAAGAUGAAGUCAAACACAGAAUUUCCUGUGUCGUGUGUAACCCUAUCUGAACUGGUUAUUUGUCAUCUGCAAUUCAUACAUCGUGGACUUUUUACUUCCUUCAUUUACAUUUCAGGUUGAUGUUUCCCAUAAUAACUCAUUUUUGUUUUUCCCCAUACAGAUUAUAAAUAAUUUUUUUAAAUAGAAAAGUGCCCUUUUCUUUCCUGUGAUUUGUUGUUCUGUUGGGAACACUGGCUGGUAGCCCGGCUCGUGCCUUAUGCCAUUGGAAAUGCAUUGUUGGUGCAUUGAUAUCGCUAGUAGGCAUAUUGUGGCUAUGCAGUUCCAAUUCUCCCUGUCACCUAACUAUGAAGCAAUAUCAUCAUGGUUAGUCAACAGCCUCAGGCAUGUCAUAGUCAAUAAACUGCUUCAUGCUGAACUUUGAUUGUUAGAGUGGGAUAUGUGCAUAGAAGUGCAUCAAUGAUUCUACAAUUAUGGCAAGAAACUGCCUUGUGCAAAAAUCAUCUCAACAGUGCCUGAUAAACAACACCAAAUGUCAAUACACAGGGGCAUGUACAUUUUAAUGUAGCAGAUCUCAUAUGCAGUAAACAUCUGGGGUCAAUUUUUAGCUCAGUCAGCAAGACUAUAUUACAACCGAGGGAAACUGGAUUACUUUCUGUGCACUGAAAUUACAACUGGGACAUUUAUAGCCUGUGAUACCAAAAUACAGAACACUAAAGAAAGCAUUUUCUUUUGGGCAGCUAUUUCCAGAUUUUUUGAGACCCUGUGGAAGAUGGAUGUGGAUGACAGUUUGUGCUGGAUGAAUAUUAGCCCGUAAACAGUUGAUAAAUGACUAAUAAAUAUUUUCAUAAAUGGCCGCUCUGUUGCUACAGAGUCCGACAGGUUGCUCAUAACCAUCUGUAACUCCUAUUUGCUAUGCAUUUAGUACGCUUAGAGCUCCUGCUAACCCUUUGAUUAAUCCCAUUUGGUUAGUCACAGUUGGGUGACAAAUACUUCUUCCCUAUUUGUAAAAGGAGAACAGUGAUACUGGCCUUGUCUGUAAGGUAAGAGAGAGGUCACGUAAUUCAUUAGCAUUGUCACCCAGGCAUAAGCUAUUAAGAAUGUACUCUGAAUAAUGAAUUGCUACAGUGAACAUAGCCUUUAGGAGAAACAAUAUACCUGAACUCUGGCUUCUGGGAGGUUUAUCUUUGCUGCCAGUUGAUUGCGAAUAUGGACAUCCGGGUAGUGAGUCACUUGGAAAAUCCUCUCCAGUUCCUGGAGUUGCUCAGCUGUGAACGUUGUCCGGAUUCUCCGUUUCCCUUUCCUCUCAACUGUGAAAACAAAGAAAGGUGUAUUGCUUUUUACAGGAACAACCUACAGGACUACAAGAAGAUUCAAAGAGCACAUUGCACAGGAUUACAUUGAUGGUUCUUGAAUAUCUCCUGUGAGGGAGAUUCCACAGCCUCUCUGGGCAACUGAUUGCAGUGCUCAAUUACCCAUCCCUAUCUUUUCCUGUCAUACUGAUCUUACCAAGCUUUCCUCCAGCUCUGAUGUAUUAUUUUAUUGCAUUGUCACUCUACAAAUUUGGAUGAAUUUUCUCCUCCCAACAAGAUCAAAGAGUUUCCAAAAUGUGUGAAUGUUGUGGAGGGAAGUUGACCAUUACAGACUGACUCACCACUGUUCUCUUCCCAUACCAUUCCUUCAGCAGUAGGGAUAGCCAGCAGUUUGACUUUGCAGUUAUAAAGAAAAGGUAUUUUUCUGACUAUACCAUUGUGGUGUGUGGACUUUCUAAACAAGCUUAGCCUUCAUAACUUAACCUUAAAACAAGGCCUUAAAACCCAUGGGGAAGUUUCGGUGUUGUGAAUUCCUCAGGGGACUCAUAGACUGCUCCAUUCCUUCACCUGCUGUGGUGUGACCAUGCUAAAGACGUCCCUCAGCGCUUCUAUACUGUUUUGAAAAUGCCCUCCUACACCAGGUAUUUUAUUUAGAUCAUGAACUUUGUGUGACACUUGGUGUAAGUUAAAAUAAGGUCUAAGUUGCUCUGAAAUGAUGCUGAAGGGCUGAUGUCUUUCAAGGAGGAGGGGAAAAGAGCAGCAGAAGUGAGCUCUGAGGCAGCUGAUCUGCGGAAUGUGGAGUGCAGUCUUGUCCCAAGGCUGGAAUCCUCUCUGAUGCACAAGUGGAAUAUCUUCCAACUGACAUUGAAUGACCAGCACAAAAAGCCAUGCCCCAAGUGCAGUGAGUCACAGGGUUUCUUCUACUGAGCUUGGAAAACUGCAGCCUGAUAGGAGCAUAAAAAUUCCGAUAUCAUUAGUGGCUAUGAUGAGUUUGCUAUUCAGUGACCUGAAGCAAUUGUCAAUGAAACCUUGUUGCUCAAAAAAAUGACUGCUUUGAAUAACUGCUUUUGGUCUUCCAUGGUCCGAUGACAACUACCAAUUCAUACUAUGUAAGUAGAUGCAUACCCUUCCUAAUGGGAACAGUUAAACAGCAGUCCCUCAAAGAAACUUUGUGCUUUCUUUUCAUCCCUUUUUGUUCAUCUAUUAGCAUAUGCUUUUCCUUUUGAAGGCUAAAACUGUGAAAAGGUAACUAAAUGACUUGGCCAAUAUAAAUUGGGCUCUGUGCCAACCAGAAAAUGGCAUUUUCAUCUCUAAUCAAAACCUCAUCGUGACUCUGUUAACAUAGAAAAUAAGGAAUAAAAAUUCUGUCCAUUGACUUGGUGGGAAAGAGUCUGGGACACGAUACCACUACGAAUAUUUCAUAAUUUCUAAACAUUUUGGGUACUUUGAAAGGAAACCAGUCAUGCAAGAAUAACUGAGGAGUGUCAUUUAUCAUAAACACUGUCAAUACUACCUUGUCUCAGAAACAGCCUAAUAAAGCUGAUGUCCAACACAGUUAAAUCCAUGUCAUUAGGCUUUCCACCAGACUAUCAAAGUACUACUCAUUAAACUGCAGCACUUGCUUCAGCCCCCAGAGAAAAAUGUUAUUUACAUUGAAUCUUGCUGGCACUAUUGGAGCAGAGAUUUGAGAUGAGAAAUAUUUUUGUGUGUUUAUACUGAAGGUAUGAAUGGGCACUGUCUCCUAAGAAGCCCUGAUUACAUCUACUUCAACCUUUCCAAAAGAUGUCUGUAAGGGGGUUUAUUGCUGCAUCCAAUAAAGGGAGAUAUCAGUGCUGACAGCAUGAAUCUCAGGACACUACAUCCCCUGUAGAUAUGAUAGGGUUCAUGGCUCAUAAUGGUGUUUCUUGUCUGAAAGAUUUUCACCUCACACAUCUAUGUGGGGACUGCUCUCCAUAUACUCCAGGGAGAUACUCCAGAGAGGUAAGAUUGAGUACCAAGAUGUUAUUUUGUCAAGCACAUUAUGUUCUAUCAUACAGUAGUGAAUCUCUCUGCCGUAUUUGUAUCAAUACGAUUUAUGGUAUCUACACUGCUCUACUACAGGGCAAUUCAUGUAGUAGAUCCCCACAACAAGUGAAGUUUACCCUAACCUUGUCACAGUCUCAGAAAUUUGAUGCCUCCCUGAGAUGUCCUGUAUGUCUCUCUGAACACUAAGCUGAGUUCCUGCCUCUAUCCAGAGUAGAAGACUGGCUCUACAAAUCUGGGAGAAGCUGCAAUCUAUCUUCAGCAUUUCCAGAACGAAGCAAGAAAUCCAAGCUCAAACUGUGACCAAGCUCCUUGUCCCUGUGGUCCCAAGCAUACAAAAAUAUCUGGGAUGCUGGCAGGGUUCUUGUCCUGCCAGGUUUUGUAUGCCCAGGCAGGCUGUGUACCUUCUAGCAACCAGAAAGCCUUUGGAAGAAAGAGAACAAACCUGCCUGCAUCCUGGAAGUUUCUGAAUUAGAAAAAAAUUACCCCCCCCACUAGAUGAACUGGAUUAUAAUUUCAUGACUCUGCAAAGCAAGAACAAAACUGUCUACAGUUUAAACCAUAAGAUGUCACAUCAAAUAAUAAUAAAAAGGUGUAUUUUAGUAUUCUAUCAGAAUACAAAAAAUAAUGAUUUAGUCCCUUCUGUCUCAUACAUUAACCAGACUUGGUUAAAAGAAUUGGGGUGACUGAACUGAACCAUGAUGGGAUUGAAGUAAAUGCCAAAGACUAGCUGGAUCAGACCUCAUUGUGAUAGGCACCAUGCAAACAGCAACCAUUAGUUCUUGUCUUAGGCAGGACACUUGGUACAGAGUUUAUUGGAUUAAUCGACCUAGACAAAUUCAAGAAAUCAGUUGUCACAAACAAUGCUAUACCACGUCUGCAGGGCUCAGGUGUGGAAUAAACUCAGUAGUGAAGAUCAUGAGUUUAGAAGGAGCUGCAAAAUCUUUGCUGCAAAGAGUACAUGAGAAUGAGAAGGCAAAGGCUGUGCACAGCUGGUGUAAAUUUGGGAAGCAACUUUUAGCUGAGCUGGGACACCUUAUGGUACUUGAGAGACAGAUCCAUUGCCUUGAACCACACAGUAUUUUAAGCUGCUGGAAAUGGGAUGGGCAAGGCGUCUGUCAGAUCAUGGUUUACUAUAUUCUGUGCCAUUACCACCUAAGAAGCAUCCAGGACUAGAGAGCAUGGCUUGAGAGAGAACUGGUUCAAGAGUUUCUUGUGUCUCAGAUCAGUUUCUUUGGUGUGAAAAUGACCCAGAUAACUUGGUGAUGGGCAAAAGAAACUCCCUAUCAGUUCGCUCUGAUAUCCUUCACAUUUUUCCUUCUUGAAAGGUGAACUGUUUUACAAACAAAACUCUUACAUAAGGGAAGGGUCUACACAGUGCUCAGAAGUGUCAAUCCUACUGAAAUCAAACUUUUCAAAGCCAAAAUUCAUCAGAUUGAACAAAAUACAGUAACAUGAGGUCAGUUAUGGGCCAGUAGAGACUGAAGGACAAGCUUUGAUUUCAACUAGAAAUAGAAUUAAAUUGAUAACAAAAUAGAACCCUGUGAAUUAAUCAAAGCUUUUACCAGUAGGAAAUCCAGAAAUGUGCAUUUUUUCUACAAGUAAUCAGUCAUUUUAUUUUUAUUUUUUUAAACUAUUAAGAAAUAAAAAAAAAAAUCUUGGACUCUGUGUUAACAUCUGCUCUUGCAAGAUGAAACUUUCUCUGACUGUAUCUGUGAUACUUCCCUUUGCCUUGGGACCUUAGCUUAGAGAUCCCAUAGCAAACAACAGCAUUCAGAAUUACAGUCUAAUAAAGAAUGUGGGUGGAAGAUAUAAGACUAGAAAGUGUUGGAAGUGUAACAUUGGCUUUUCAAAUGUGGCUAUAGAGUCUCUGGGGAAAUAAGACUCUGUCUGAGUUUCCUGAGCUAUUUUUUUAUGUAAAAGCUGGGGAUAUUCAAGUGUGCUUUUAUGCUCUGUGAAAGUCAUUUGCAGGUUAGCUGACUGCUGAAACCAAGCCUGAAAAUACCAGGCAGCUAAAUAUGUCAGCCUUCUCAGAUGCUUAGAGAUACAGCUGUCUAUACAUUGCCUUGCUGUUGACAUUGGAAGGGCCAGAUUCUCCAAGCUGAUAAAGCAGUAUAGCUCCUUUAAAUUCAGUAGCAGGCUCAUUUGUCCUCUGCAGAUCUACUUUCUUACCAGGUCAGACUUGGAGCAAGUUGGGACAUUUGAACUUUGUAGAAACAGAGAUUCGUCUUGAAGGUACAGAGUGGAAGGAUGAGGUCAAUGGCUACAAGUUGCAGCAAAGAAAAUUCUGAUUACAGACUAGGAAAAAAAUAUUUUCAUCAUGAAGAUAGUCUGACAUGGGCCUGGAGAAGCUGAAGUCUCAGUGCUUGGAGACAUUCUGAACUUGACUGGACAAAGGCCUAAGCAAUCUGAUUUAAGCUGGCUCUGCAUAGAUUUGGGGUUGGACAAGGUGGCCUCCAGAGGUCUCACCCAACUUACUUUUUUAUGUGAUCUCUGACCUACCAAUACCCACAUAGGGUAAAACCACCCCGUCAUUUCUUCCCUAAAAAAGUAAGGGAGCUUAAGUCUUUAAUACUAUGCACAGCUCAAAGAGUCUGAUUUGCAAUUGCUUAUAUACACAGUUUUAGCUUAACAUAUAAUGGCUUAUUUUCACUGUCCUGUAUAACACAGUUUCAAGAUAUUAGAAGUAGGAGCAAAUCAAUACUGAAUACUGAAUACUGAAUGCUUGUACAUGUCUGCUAACAUUCACAGUUUGCUAAGUAGAAGUUGUGCAGCUGCAACAAUGCCAUACUUGGGGCAAAUUUCUUCUGGGCUAUAAUCUGUAGUAGGCAGAUAGCCUAUGGUACACCUUGCACUGCUGUUUCUCAGCUGCCCUGCGUAUCUGAACCAGCUAGAAAAAUGCUAUCUCAGGGAGAUCUCUGCAAUUGCAUUCCCCAUUUGCACUUACCCCUUUAGCAGGCUAAGACUGUUUCAAGCCUACUUGGUCUCAUUACAUGGGUGCAUACACUGGAGGGAUAAGGAAUUAAAAACCCAGGAGAAAGGCUGGAAGUCAGUGCUGGCACAUAUUUGGUUUGUUGGAGGUAAACCGGAUAGGUGAAAACUGGUGCAAUCCUAUUUGUCUUUUCUGGACAGACACUCUCUCAUGGUAUGGGAUAUCCAAAAAUUUUGUUUCUUCUUUGACAAGGAGAAAGCAGUUACAUAAGCAAGCAAGUGGCUUUAGCUACACAUCCUCAGAAAUACAUUUUUGUCUGUGCAACAAAGUUGACUGUAUCACUUGUUUCUCAGAAGCAAAUUCAGGUGUGUUGAAAAAGAGCCUCAUUAUAUCGGGUUAAGUUUUGUUUUCUCCUUCUUGCCUUUGAAAAAGAUGUUCCUCUCUCUUCUCUUCAAUUAGAUAUAUGGGUCUCCAAGCUAGUUCCUUCCUGUGGCUUUUCUGAACGUGGUUAUCUUGUGGUGACAUUGUGCCCAUGACAGACAGCCCCAUAGAAAAAAACCACAGUUGCAACUCUAUCAAAGGGUUAUUACACAGUACUGAUGGUAUUAGGACAAAAUGUUGUGUACAGAGAUGUGCCCAUGGCAUUCCCUCUCCUAGUUAAAGAGGUGGCUUAUGGCUUUCAGAAGAGCUUGUGCUGCAAUAUUUAGCUGGGACUAUUGCAGUGUGGCUAAUCUUUAUUAAAGUGGUUUUUCAGCCUUUGUUGAGAAGCACUAGCAUAGCCAGCGAGACUGAUCCUAAUUGGAUAGGUACAAUGUGCUCCAGAUAAAGCCUCCUGCUAGUGAAAUGCAGCCUUUAGCACCCAGCUGCUGACUGUUCAGGCAUUGCCAAAGUUAAGAGAGAGAGGCACAACUUGAACUUUUAAAGUCUUGACUUCCUCCCUUCAGUCCACAACUCCUUGACAGAAAGUUGCUUCCACCUUGGUGUUGAGAGCAGUGCCUUAAUCACUUGACAGCAAGACUGAAAUGCAGAGAGGUACAGACUUCAGGUAGUGUGAGCAGCAAUGCUAAAAAUAUCAGGCCAGAAACCUGUUUAGGCAAGCUGAACAGUGGUGGCCAAGGGAGUUUCUUAGUCUACUUGUCAAAGGAGUUGGCAAGGAGUAGACAGUAUGUAUGAAACCAUUCAUGCGAACAGUUUGUUGUGGAGGAUUGUGCUCACCAUCAGCCUGAGCCCCUGGUGAAUUUAACCUUUCUCGUCUGCCAGCAAAGUGAUGACAGUGUUUACAAGUGCUGCUGCCUGAAAUGGUGUUGUGCAUAAGUCUGGCACAGCCAGUGGUCAGCAGAACAUCUGAAGGAUGAAGCAUGCAGGCUGUGGUUCGAGGGGCCUCAGCUGACAGGGGUGUGUGUCAGUUUCCAUCAUCUGAAUAUCAGAGAAUCAUAGAAUUGUUAAGGUUGGAAAAGACCUCUAAGAUCAUUGAGUCCAACCAUCAGGUCUGUACCUAGGCUGAAGAGCCUGCACCUUCUUGAACUCCUUCAGGCCAAAGUAGAUUUGGGGUACAUGUGUACGUUCCCCAUUCUGCUAAAUCUCAAACUUGAAAUGUACUUUCAGUGAAUGUUUAGCCAUAGUCAAACUUCAUCUUAAAAGAAGUGGCCAGCCUAAACCAAUAAUGGUUCUCAACAAGGAAAACAGGUUCCCCACCACUCUUUCCACACUGUCUGGUCCAACAUCUUUGUGAAAAACAAGCCAUUUGACCAGGGAGAAAGCUGAGCUUAUUGCAGGUUUCACAGACAGCCUGUUUUCUACUUUAUUCCUGCUCUUUGGGGUUCUUUGUACCUGCAAACAUCUAGACAUCAAUCAGGCAUGCUUAUUUACAUCCCUGCCUCAGAGUCUGUCCUCCGAGAAAGCGUAACUCCAUCAUUAUUUUGGUAUGUAGUUUCUGCUGUUUCCCCUUUAAGCAUAAAGGCCUUGCUAAUACAGUAAGUAAAACACCUGCCCUCAAUUUCAAAGAACAAUAAUUAAAAGUACUAUAUCCCGGGGACGUAAUGAAAAGUUCUAGGACAAUUUAAGUGAAGCCAAGUGUUCAUUAAGACCUUUGAAAUAAACUUAUCAAGAUGUGCCAUCAGCUUUACAAGUGGUCACGUUACACAGAUUUGACCAGCAGGAACAAAUUAACCUCUGAGUCCUGUAUAAGGUACCCUUUGGAUUCAAAAUUCCCAGAAAAGAAGAGACUGCUUGAGGAAAGCAUUGAAUGCUAAUAUUUGCUUUAACUAAAUAAAAGUCCAACCCCCAAACCCAUGAAGAAACAACACAAAUGAAAUUUAUGAUAGUCCCCCAGCUGCUGACAGCUUUGCUUUGUUCAGUGCUUACUUGCAUCAGUGAGACUUUUAUUUUUGAAGGGCAGGAGUAAAGGAUUAAGGUUUUGUGCCUUUCAUUUAAUAUCCAGGGUGUCCUUAUAAACAGUCAGUCUGCAAAGAGGGAGAAAAAAAAAGGACCAGCCUUUAACAAUACCUCAGGCAAACCCACCAAAACAAGGUCAAUGGUCUGGGGCAUUUCUAAAUGUAUAUAGAAGAACACUGCACUUCAGAGACACAGGGCUGCAGGGACUAUUCACACAGAUAAACAAAAGACUGGUAAGACAGCUAAUGGCAGCCAAACUAUAUAUAUAGGCAUUCAUUUUUUUUCCUCUUGCUUUUCCUUUUCGUUUAGAAUCCUUCUUUUUGUUCUGCAGGACAGUGGGAUGCUUGUGCCCUUUCUCGGAGUCCCAUUGGCAUAUUCUGGGCAGCUGAUAUUUAUCUGGGACUGUGAUUAUACGGUGCUUCAUUAUCUCUUGGGUGUUUCAAAAAUGCAUUAAGAUAAGUCAGCAUAUUGGGGAAAAGACUGUUUUGUGAGAGAUAAACCAUGCUGUUUCACAGGGGUACAUGGAUUUGACCAUAUUGUUCGCAAAUGAACAGUACAAGUGAAUUUAUGACUUCAGAGAAAACAUGAACAUUAAGCUAAAGAUGUCUGCAACUGGCAUCAGUACAGAGGGAACAUGAUUUACACUGGAAUUUCUCCAGAACUGAAAUUAUCUCUAUACUUUCCAUUGUCUUUAUCAUAAUUGUCAUCAGAAUUUGUAUAUGCUUUGGGAUCACAGAUGCUACCAUAAUAAUAAAACAAUGAGAUAAAUAAAAAGAUCCCUGAGCUCCCAGUCAGCAUUGUGUGGAGGAUUUUCACUAUGGAAAUAUUUGGGUGACGUUGACUCACUAUGGCAGCUUCCUUUACAGUGAAUAAUGAAGACAUGAGCUGCAGGAAAUAACACGAGUCCCUGAACCACCUAGGCUUCACAGCCAGAACCUCUCAGUUUCUGGUGGAAUUAGGAGCUAGUUCUGUUUAUUGAAGCGUGAUCUAUCCUGUCCUUGAAUUAUUGCUCAGAGAAGGUAUCCCACAAGACCAGAUAACCACCAGUGUCUUAAAGUGAUGCUGCUGUCUGGCUUCUCCAAGGCACUGAUUGUUCCCUUGCUUGAGCAGAAGACUGGAAUCAUUACCCAUGUGCAAUGCUGGGCACAUUGACCCACUGCCUUUGGAUGUAAAUAUUUACAGUGCACACACACACACACACACACAAAUGUAUACAAUCGGACCCAGUAUGUGUAAAAGACAUUGCAAAAUAAUUGUCCAUAAGGAUUUGAACUAGGCUGGGAUCUUGUACAUGGCAUUCUCCAUCAGGAGCUGCCACAGGUCAGGUAGGCAUGGGGAUAUGUUGUUGUCUCAGGCUCCAGUGCUUGACUGUUGUGAACUGGUCAAGUCCCAAGGACAUCAGAGUGAGAAAAGAGAACUAAUUAAAAGGAAAGUGGGAGCUCAGGAUUUGGGUGUUUACAUAUUGUUGAGAUGCCGAGUGACCGCCACAAGAGUUUGCCCUUGCUUUAGCAGCAAUGGUGGUUGCAAAUACCAAAGUGGCUGCAAUUACUCAUCUGACAGAGAGCUGGCCCAAGUAGAGUCUGUACUGGCAGCUCAAAGGCCUCCAUUAGAAUGAUCUCCUUCUAAAACAGGUUUUAUCAAUGCUGUUUCCCAAGAAUCCAGCUUUUUUGAAAAGGUUCUGCUGAGCUCUUCAUGAAGAAAGCCACACAGGUGAAAACACUCCACACUGAGGACAAAGGCUCCCAAAUUCAAAUGAGGGCUUAGCAAAACCAAAUGCCACUGUCAGCAUGUCUCUAGUAUAUGAGAGCUCUUCUCUUUUUUUGCUUACAAUGCAGUCUCUAAGUUCAAAGUACAAGAGGCAUUGCUCCCUGCAAAUGGUUUGUGAUAAGGGCAUAAAUCUAUUUAGCUUAAAUGACACUGCAUUUCUAAACCGCUUAGUGGCAGAAGCCAUUUUUGUGGGAAAAACAAAUUUUUAGGGACACUUCAUUGUUACAGGGUUUCCUGGAAAUAUGCUCCAAAUUCAUGCUCUGGGUCACAGUCAGGGUGCUCUUGUUAUCUCAGACCACCUGCCCAUGAAGGGGGCUACUGUCAUAGCCUCCUCCUCACUUUUCUCACUCUAUCAAAAAAAUCACCAAAGUCCAGCCCUCCUUCCUCCAAGGUGAUUGUAUAGUGUUCCUGAUUUCUUCUGUUCCCUGACAAUUAAACAGAUGUGUAUACCUAGAUGGAGCCCAGUGCCUUUCCUCACAAAUGAUGUAGGUGUUUUAUAUAGAUAGAGGUAGGCUGAGAGAGGGAGGUGAGGGAGCACCCUGCCAAGAGCUUCUGAUGUCUUUCACAUCAGGAAGGUUUCCUGCUGCUGAGGUUGGUGCCGUUCCCUUGGGUGGUUGUGGGCAUCCUCAGUGUGGUUGUGAGGGAGAUCCUAGGGACACUUCCAUGGCAUAUGUUAUGGGCAUUUGGCACUGCGCAGGUGUCUUGUCAGAGGACCCGUAACCAAUCUCUAGCUACCAUGCCAAAAGUGCGUCUGAAGCACCCCAGAGUCGAUAGACAUGUAAAGAGAAGUUAAUUUGCUAUCAGCUUGAGCUAUGAGGAUUAUAGACUGCUUACAGGGAUGAUGCAGUCUACCCAUCCUGCAGGUACUGCUGCUGAUUUCAUCAAGGAAGGGUGACACCAGCCACAGCCAGGGGCAAGAGAAAAAGAUCCACCAGCAUUUUCCCCUAAUGUUAAGUGGAAGAAGAAGGUUGAAGCUUAAGAUGCUGUAAAGACCAGCAUUAAAACUGGGCCUCCAGCUCUCUGCUAAGAAUGACACAGUGCAUGAACAGGAUCCGAAACAUCAUCGUUUGUGCACUGUAGGGAAAAUGCCAAUCCAGUUCUUUAGGAUCAUCCCUCCUUCAUCAGCCAGUUUCUGUCAAAGGCUCGAUAACUGCGGGAACCAGUAGCCUAGAAAAUGGCAGAUCAUUAAACCUCUGCUUGGUUUCAAAACCCCACCGCCUCCAGGGAACAGAUGGAUUUUGUUUAAAAUGCCUUUGAAAUAUAAGUUGUCAUUGAAAGGGUCUGCUCAUCUUGGCUCAGUUUUGUGCAGAUAAUUACAUGCUUCCUCCCCUGCUUUACUGAUGAGGCUGAUACAGACCGUGGUGCUGGUCAAUGAGGCUAAGCACCAAGUUGGGGCAGCCACCUCCCACCUCUGGUGUGAUACUUGUAGCUGGGGACUCCCUCACACAUGAAAUAUGGUAUUUUUAUACUCAGAGGCAACUCUGAGUGUCAGAUACAUACAGCCCUGGCUCUUCUGUGAGGAGGCAACAGGAUUUUACCCUGCUACCAUCAGCUGUGUGCAGCUUACAGGGCAGAGGGAGGCUAAAAUACCCAGUUAUCUUACAAGGCUUCUCUCUGCAUCAAGAUUGAUGUCUGCCUUGUGCAGGAGGAGGAGAUGACAGCAGCUUGUCACAAGACUGAUGUAUACCUUAGCACCAGCAGCAGAAACAAAGCUUUUCUUUUAAAUGUAUUUCACAGAAAGAGUUGUUUCCACUGCCAGCUUGCAGAGUAUGGAGCAGGGAUGAUGUGUGGAUCUCCGGGAAGCCAGAUGAGUAACCCCGCAUCUGUGGUAACAUGAGCCCAUUAGUAGUUUUCAACUGACUUAAAUGAAACUCCCUUUUUUUUUUCUGGAGUAAAUAAUAACAAAUUGUGUAGGAAACACCUUUCUACUGCUACUGAAAACCUGUUUUCUGGAGUGUAGUAUAAACAUCUGUGUUUACCUUUCCUCAAAUUCAAAGAACUUAAAGCAAUUUUUGUCAUGUUAUUAAUAAAUUGCUGCCUGAAUGUUAGGAACUUGUCUUGUUCUGGUACCAUGUAUCCUGCUUAGCCUAAAGUCUCCGUGCAACAUAUUGGAAAAGGCUAUUUGUACUGCCUAGUGCUUUGGCUGAAAGAUAGACUGCUGUUUGUUGACACAUCCUGCCAGAUCUAUGCACAUAAACAGUUUGCCUGUGUGUGUGCUGAUGACCUCUCCAUCACCCGUACAGUGGGUCCAAGGUGUACAGAACACAUUGAGCUGAUUAGGCACAUUCAGCAGCCAGUCUCCCUACAUUGUGCAAUGCACAUUUACCAGCAAACGGGCGUUGCACAACCCUGGGAGUAAGGCUGCCCAGCAUGGUAACUCAGUAGAUUGCCACCCCAAGCAGGAGGGCAAUAAACACCCAAAGCAGUCCCUAUCACUAACAUUGGUAGGGCUGGCAGGCCUGAGGUAGAUCUUUAGCUCAAAAGGUGGCUCUCCAAGUUUUUGAUGGCAAGAGUGAAGAGUUACCAUCCCUGUGACUCAUCCAGGAGCUAUGACCAUCUACUGUGACUCAGCCAGUGGAAACAUUCUGCGACAUCUGUUGCUAGGUGUUCACGUCCUAUGUCCUCACCCAGGAGGGACACUGGGCUGUCUCUAGGUCUUCUGCAGUGAGUUGCCUGCCCUCUCUUUGCUCUGGCAAUAGGUGUAGCACAUGUGGUGGAGAGAAGUAUUUUGGCUGAAGAUUCCUCUUGGGUGGACAUGAUUUCAGGAUGAGAAGAGGCUGAACUUCUGGAUUCAAACAUCAUUAUGUCCCUUGUCAAAAUGUCACAGGAGCCUGAAGUGACUAGAAAAGCCUGAGGUGACAGAAGUCUUUGCUAUUCUCACCAGCAAACACAACCCCCUGGGAUUUUUGUAAGAACAGUGUUCUAAUCUAAACUACGGUCAGACUGACAGUUAUUCCUCUAGAAAAUAUGGCUACUUGUGCUUGAGCAAAGAGUCUGGUACAAUAAAACUGGAUCAUCACACUGAGUCAGUUAGUGCUGAGGCUUCUAUUCUCCACUACAUGCAGACUGAAAGCCUGCUGGUCUGAAGGCUUGGGUGUCCCUGUCAUGCAUAUGUGUUGAACUUGUACAAAGAGAAACCCUCCCACAAACCUUUGCUUCCUUGCUUAUGAGCCCAUCUGUGAAGCACCACAUUAUUGUUUUGUAUUUCAAGCAAAUGAUGGGGACAUCUUAAUGUUCCUGUCAGCUCUAAUAAGGUUUCCCAUAUUUAAAGAAUAUUUAAUCUGCCUUUAUUUGUGCAUUUCCAAGUGACAUCAUAAUGCUGCUAUCUGAACUCCCCAGUUCUAGUUCAUUCAAUGUUCAAAAAAAGUGUCACAGAUGGAGUAUGAGGGAUGACAACAGUGGCCUUGACUCUACAGCAGAUACUCUGGGAGAACACUUGAGAAUAGUGAUGCUGCCUCUCUUCCCCUGCCAUGGAGAAAUACUGGAAGCCCUUGCCACUGUGACUGCUUUGGCUGUGGUUCUGGAUCUAUGAGGCAAACUCUGACUGAUGAAACAGAAUUGUUCUUAGGACAGAGUACAACCAGCAGUGAAUGCCUUUCAGAGGUUGUGGGGCAAGUCUGAGGUCCUCAGCUAUGAACUAGUGCUAUGUUUUCAUCGCCAUUGGACCCAGUUCUGUGAGCCCAUAGCUGUGUUAGAGAGUGACUGUUGCCCUGGGGAGUCAAAAUUUUACCCCUAGUAAUGGAGUAGUUUGGUGUAGGCAAGACUAUCACAGAUAGAAAGGUGACUGAUACUUCAGGGGUAUUCUAUAAGGCACUUUUUUUUCCAAACAAGUGAGAAACAUCAGCGUGACUAUUCAGGAAUUUAGUCAGAUGCAGUCAGCUGAAACAAGUGCAGAAAAGCACGGGCAAUAUUUUGAACACUAAGUGACAUUCAUCCCCUUGGAGUGAUAUAACCAGCUCCCCAAAACAUGUGGAGGUAGUGUUAUAUCAGAUUUGUUAAGGCGUUGUCCUAUUACAGGGACAGAUACUGCUUCUGAAGUGACCAUAAUAGCUCUGAGGAAGACGUAAAUACAGCAUCAGAGGAAAAAAAGUCAUGAAAGAAAAAGAGAGAAGGAUAAAUAAAGGUUCUGCUCAUUGGGCCAUACCAUCAGGAGAAGCACAGCAGAUGCCAGGCAUGCAGCCUAAUCUCACACCUAGGCUCAGGAGGGAACUGAGAAGUGCAUGCUUGGGAAGGGGGUGGGACUACUGCUUACUGUUACUGAGCAGAAGCCAUAUGAGGUCACUGGUGAAGGAUCAGUGGCUAAGAAAUUAUUUGACCCCCAUUGGUGCACUGCAGAUGGACUGUGACAGUUAUCUGGCUUCAGGUCAUUGUCAGACAGCCAAAUGCACAAGUCCUUUAGAAGGAGACAAAGGAUUUAAGUAUUUCCUGAUGGCUUCUGACAUUGCUUGUAAUUUUAUCAAGUGUGCAAGUACUCUGCAGUGACCAGGAACAUAACUGGAGGCACGCAUGGACCGAUCACAUGCCCCCAUGUCUAUGUGAGACACUCACCUACUCAUGCUGCAGACAAGCUGUCCUUGGUAUUUCCAACUAUCUGAGGUCAAUCAAGAUUCAAACUACAUUUUGAGAUGGUCUGCUUUCUGGAGUGUCAGGAUGGUACUGCUUAAGGAGGGGAUAUUAAUGUUAUGUCCACAAUAGCAUUCCAUACUCAAAUAAAAAGGAUUAAAAAAAAUGUAAGUAAGAUAAAGAACUAGACAGCAAUGGGAGACAGGAAAAAACCUCAUCAGUCACCUAUUAGUUAGCUUCACUGCUUGUUUAUUAGUAUUAUCUUUAUGUGGUGUUCAUGGCUGUUUUGUGUGUGGAGUGUUGCUGUGCAACAGCAAAACUUGCCACAAAUUAAAAUUCACCCAACUUACAUGAAAAGAAGAGAAAAAGAGCUACCUGUUCUCAGCAUGAAUUUUUUUUUCAACUGAUUUCAUCCUAGGCAAUUAACUUCUUGUGAGAAAAGACCUAUUUUGUGCCACGGGGGAAGGAAAAAUACCCAUGCCAUAAAAUAUAGUGAAGGCUGAAGCAAAUUGAGCUGAAUUCAAAAAGUACUCAAGCAAAGAGGUCAAGUGAAAUUGCUCCAUAAAGUGUUCAUUUCUAGCCUUUCUUCAGAGCUUCAACCAGCACAGCAAAAACUCUGAUGCCCCAUUACCCUUAUUUCAAAUACUUGCUUCUCAGCAGCUCAGUUCCCACAAUGGUGACAGAAGGCAUUUCUCAAAAAAAAAGGGAAAAAAACCCCAACAAACAGACCAAAUCCCAAAACUUGUCAACUCGUCCAGUUCAAUGCAGCCUACCCAUGGGCAAACAAAACCAAGUUUUUUCCAUUUUUGCCUUGCAGGGAUCAUCAUUUCAGCACUAAAGAAUUCCUCCUGAAA